UGUGAAUAAAGGGAACUGGUUGAAGGUGCAUGGCCUCCAUUUUAUCUUUGUCUUAACGGAGACAUUACACUAAGGUGAAUCCAGCUUCUGUAACUCGGAAAUUUAAUGGAGACUGGAAAAAACUUACCCUUGGGUAGAGCUGAAAGAAGGGGAAGCUGAAGGGGGGAUGGUUUGCACCCUUUGCUCUAAAGCAAAAAAAAAAA